AAUAUAUGCAAAGCCCAAACCCAGCUCCCCCUUUUCCCUCAUAACAGCGACGACCGACGCCACCGUAUCGAACUCCACAAGCAGCAGCAGCAACAAUGGACCCUCUCUCCGCCCUCCGCGACUUCACAAUCCGCGGCGAGCUCGACAAGAUCGUCCGUGUCAACGACGAGUUCCGGUUCGGGUCCGACUACACCUUCCCCUGCUUCGCCGAGACCGCCUACCGCUCCAAGCAAGGCAAUCUCUACACCCUCGAAACCCUCCUCCACUACGUCAACAACCACCACGUCAAGCACACCGAGUACAUCCAGAACGCCCGCACCCAGGGGAUCCCCACCGUCACUUUCCCCGAUCGCAAGCCCCUCCUCGAUUACCUCACCGGCAAGAUCUCCACCACCGACUCCAUCGAAUUCGUCCUCCCUCAAAACCCUAAAUUCCCCGACUUGCCCCUCAACGAUUUCCCCUUCUCCGACCACCAGAACGACGUCGCUCACCACACCCCUGACCACAGCUUCGCCGAUUCCAAGGAUUUGAACCAGAUUGAGGCCCCCGUGGACUACAUGUCGUUGAUUUACUCCAGCGAGAGGCCGUUGAAGGACCGCGAGGAGCUGCUGGAGUGUAAAGGGAGGAACUUUUACGGCGUGUUGACGGCGGCGACGAAGAGGGAGGAGGAACGACAGCGUAUUGAGUCGCAGCAGAGGAAGGAUGGGCUGGUGGCCAAAAGUAGGUUAAUGGGCUCCGACGAUAGGGGCAUGGCGGGCUACGGUGACGAACUGGGCUACGACCCGACGCCCAAGCCCAAGAUGCAUUUGAAGGGAGGGAAGAUUGGGGAAGGUGUGCCUAUAAUUCUGGUGCCCAGUGCGUUCCAGACGCUGAUUACGAUUUAUAAUGUGAAGGAGUUUUUGGAAGAUGGGGUUUAUAUACCUACGGAUGUGAAGGUGAAGCAGAUGAAGGGAGCUAAGCCGGACUGUGUUACCGUGCAGAAGAAGUUCAGCAGGGAUAGGGAUAGAGUUGUGACGGCUUAUGAGGUUAGGGAUAAGCCGUCGGCGUUGAAGACUGAGGAUUGGGAUAGGGUGGUGGCGGUUUUCGUGUUGGGGAAGGAGUGGCAGUUCAAGGACUGGCCUUUCAAGGACCAUGUGGAGAUUUUUAAUAAGAUUAUGGGAUUUUUCAUGCGGUUUGAAGAUGAUAGUGUGGAGUCAGCAAAGAUUGUGAAGCAGUGGAAUGUGAAGAUCAUCUCGAUUAGCAAGAAUAAGCGACACCAAGAUAGAGCUGCGGCAUUGGAGGUGUGGGAUCGGCUAGAAGAGUUUGUGCGGUCACGGUCACAUUCUUGAUGUGUGCAUCAAGUUUUGGGGAGAAAGAUGUGUUCUGAUUUUGGUUGUGACCAUUUGGCCCUUUGUACUCGUGGGAUUGGAAAUGUUUUUAUUAUUUAUUGGAUAUUGUAUCAUUAUAUCUUCUGGAGGAGUGAUAAAGUUAUGUCAUUCAAGAGCACACGGAGAGAUGCUUGGUUGGAAGUUUUGUUACAUCUAUCUUGAGUUUCAGCAACCCUUCAUCAAGAGCCCAGGAGAAUACUUCACAUGGUUUACAUAGUUGCAAACCUUGAAAAAAGGUAUGCAGGGCCAAAGAGCAAACCUUGUCAUACAGCAAAUAUGUUGAACGGAACCACAUGCUAUCUUGCAAACCCAGAGAAUGGAGACUGAAAAGACUUUGUAUUAUCAACCUAUACAUUUAAGGUUUGGACACAAUUUGAUGAUAGUAAAGACUUUUCUGUUAUGCUGAUGGACUUUACUUGGGGUGAAGAUUGCUGCGUGAUUCACCUGUGGAGUAAAAUGUAUGUCGCAGCUGCGAAUCUUUGGAACAUUGUGUGGGGGUAUAUCCUAGCAUCACAAGGAAUACAUCAACAAUCGUCAGAACUCAAGAUCCAAGAAUAUUCAGGAAUAUGUGUAGCCUGAGAGGUGGGCUAACAGAAAAGAAAAUCAGUGCAUUGAGAAAGUAGCAAAUGCUGCAGCAAAGAGCACAAUGAGCUGAGUCAUAGACAACUUGAUGGAGUUUCCAUCUGAUGAGCCAUCGUCAGUUGAUGGAGAGUCAGCUGGAGAAGCAGCUGCAUAAAUAUAGUAGUACAAGCAGUUAGCAGAAGGUUAAAACCUACAAUGAGGCAAAAAUCAAAGACUUUAACAUCUGCGUCUUCUUACCGUUACACUGGCUGAGGGGUGGAGUCUGAACAUUGCAAGCACCGGGUAGAGCGCGAGCCUGAGUUUGAUUAACAUUGACCCCCAGUGAUGAUCCACCGCCAUUAAUGACCUGGCACAAACACUGUGGGGAUGAUUGGACAACGGUAGCGAGCUGCGAGCAGCAUCCUGAAGAUGGGGUCGAGGAGUUCCCAGUAAUGUAAUUCAGGCACGGGGACAUGCUUAUUAUCACAUUUGUGCAACUUGACUGUGCUGCUGCUCUUGCCAAGAAAAUGGUCACCAGAACGAGGAAGAGACUCUUUUCAAUUCUUUGUGCCAUUGUAGGUUCUUGAGUUGGCGUAAUUUCAAAAUGCCUGAGAUCACUGAAAGCUGUACUGGUACUAGAGGCUUUGUUUAAUCUGGUGAAAUGGGUUGAGUGAUAUGUGCCUUUUGUAGGGGGGAUUGAAUCGAGAAACAGACAGAUGUGGCUUAGGUGGGUAACCAACCCCUCCUAAUAUAGUUUCAUAGAGUUAUCUUUGAAAGGCUAACCUUGCGUUGGAGUAGUUUAGAGGUCGGUUAUUGGAGGUGACCAACUUCUAUUAUUUUUGUUAACGUACCAAUUCUUAGGUGUUCGAAGCUGGAGACUUUAGGAAACCACCUGAUCCAGAUAGCAAGUUCUUAACUUUCCUGGAAUACUAAUUAAGAAGGAUAUAAGAGGUGUAAUAUUGCCUCCUUUACUUUUAGGCACAUUGGUGAACUACUCCAAACUCUUACUUUU